AAAAAAAUUUACAUGUUUAAUAAGUGACAUAAUUUUUUUUUUGAAAGUAAUGAGUGACAUAAAUUAAUUGUGUAUUACACGUUUAAUAAGUCUAAUAAAAUAAUGAAACUUUAGCCAAAAAAAAUAAAAUUGAAAUACACAACCACUUAGCCCCAAAUGAAAUUAACAAAACAAGAAAAAUCCCUAAUUGUGUAUUACACGUUUAAUUCUCUAGUCUCUACCGGUUGGCUUCUCUGGAUCUCACUCAAACUCAGCCUCUCAAUCGUUUUCCUCUCACGCUCACUCGCUCGAUCUAUUCUCUUUCACACUCAGCCCCCUCGAUCCGUUCUCUCACUCAGCCUCUGCAAGAACUCAGCCUCUACAAGAACUCAGAUCUCGUCUUUCUCUCCAUAACGUCGAGCUUCUCUCCUUCACACUCAGCCUCGGCAAGAACCAGGCGACCCCGCCGAUGCAAGAACCAGACCACCAUGGGGCAAACUAGGCAGACCUCCAAUUGUUUAUGAGAUUCUUCUACCACAAUGUUUAUAGAUGGUUUCCUGCAUAUGGGUUAGUUAAUAUCUUGUUCUGAAGGAGCUGAGAAUGAUCCCCAUGAUGGCAAGAGAAAGUGUGAGGCUUUGUGGCCUAUAUUCAAAAUAGCACAUCAGAAGAGCUGUUACAUUUUUGACCUUUACCAUCAGCGAAAGCAAAUAUCUAAGGAGCUGUUUGAGUUCUGUCUAGACCAAGGUUACGCUGACCGUAAUAUUAUUGCAAAAUGGAAGAAUUUUCGUUUACAGUACACUUUAUUUGAACAUGAUACUGUUUGCACUUGCUAAGAUCGUUAUUUGUAUUAAAAAAAUGGCUGUUAAUCUUAGAGCAGACUACAUAUAUCUAUUUAUAUGAAAAAACAGUGUAGAGUAGAAUACUUUAUAAGACUAACUAAGAAUAUAAGCCUGAACAUAUGUGUGUAUGGGAUUGGGUUUUGUCCCAUUAUGUGAUGCAUUCCGUUCAUCCCUGUAUGUCGAAUCAAUGGUUGGUUAUUAAUUAUUGGAAGCCUGCAUAUCACACCAUGUCUAGAGUAUAUUAAA